rnacentral:rRNA from 1 species
UUGUCUCAAAGAUUAAGCCAUGCAUGUCUCAGUACAAGCCGAAUUAAGGUGAAACCGCGAAAGGCUCAUUAAAUCAGUUAUGGUUCCUUAGAUCGUACCCACAUUACUUGGAUAACUGUGGUAAUUCUAGAGCUAAUACAUGCAAACAGAGCUCCAACCGGAGACGGGAGGAGCGCUUUUAUUAGAUCAAAACCAAUCGGUGGCGGGUUCGCUCGUUCACCGUACAACUUGGUGACUCUGAAUAACUUUAAGCUGAUCGCACGGUCAAGCACCGGCGACGCAUCUUUCAAAUGUCUGCCUUAUCAACUGUCGAUGGUAGGUUCUGCGCCUACCAUGGUUGUAACGGGUAACGGGGAAUCAGGGUUCGAUUCCGGAGAGGGAGCCUGAGAAACGGCUACCACAUCCAAGGAAGGCAGCAGGCGCGCAAAUUACCCACUCCCGGCACGGGGAGGUAGUGACGAAAAAUAACGAUACGGGACUCAUCCGAGGCCCCGUAAUCGGAAUGAGAACAGUUUAAAUCAUUUAACGAGGAUCAAUUGGAGGGCAAGUCUGGUGCCAGCAGCCGCGGUAAUUCCAGCUCCAAUAGCGUAUAUUAAAGUUGUUGCGGUUAAAAAGCUCGUAGUCGAAUUUGUGUCCCGCGCCGCUGGUUCAUCGUCCGCGGUGCUAACUGGCGUUUCGCGGGACGUCCUGCCGGUGGGUUUAGCCUCCGUCAGGGGGGGCGGCCCAAUUCAAUCCCACCACGGUUCUCUUGAUUGAGUGUCGAGGCGGGCCGGCACGUUUACUUUGAACAAAUUAGAGUGCUUAAAGCAGGCUAAAACUUUGCCUGAAUACUGUGUGCAUGGAAUAAUGGAAUAGGACCUCGGUUCUAUUUUGUUGGUUUUCGGAACCCCGAGGUAAUGAUUAAUAGGAACGGAUGGGGGCAUUCGUAUUGCGACGUU